rnacentral:rRNA from 1 species
UACAGGUGGUGCAUGGCUGUCGUCAGCUCGUGUCGUGAGAUGUUGGGUUAAGUCCCGCAACGAGCGCAACCCUUAUUUUUAGUUACCAAUUCGUUGGGUUUUUUAGAAAGACUGCCGGUGACAAACCGGAGGAAGGUGAGGAUGACGUCAAGUCAGCAUGCCCCUUAUGUCCUGGGCUACACACGUGCUACAAUGGUUAAGACAAAGAGUCGCAAGCUCGUGAGAGUAAGCUAAUCUAAUAAACUUAGCCUAAGUUCAGAUUGUAGGCUGCAACUCGCCUGCAUGAAGUUGGAAUCGCUAGUAAUCGCUGGUCAGCCAUACAGCGGUGAAUCCGUUCCCGGG